UAUCCUUACAUAAUACAUUCACAACAGAGACCAGCAGUAUGGAUUCCAUAAUUUCUGUUUUAAAAAUUGGCACAUUCCAGAAAGAAAACUCUUUACUCAACUAUGUGGGGAGCCUAGCAACUACCAGAACUGAUUGAAAAACUCCCAAGAGAAAGUUUACAGGUGAAGAAGUGGUAACAGGCCAAUGUCCUGGAAGUAUGUUAUAUUAUAAAGAAAUGUAAUUAGUUAGGAUGGCCAUCUUCAUACUGUAAACUGUGAAGAUGGAAUUGAAGUUCAUUUGUAAGAAAAUGAUAUGAUAUGAUUGUCUUUUUGAUUUUGAAGAAACAGCUUUUCCUCAGAUUCAUCAUCAAGGCACAGCUGGAAUAGAUCCACAUCAAGCUCUAGAUCUCAUUUACUUGAGUGACCACCAAAACACAAAUGUCAUUCUUCCUGCUGAAGCAAAGAGCUGAAACAUGAACUUGAUACAUUUGGGAACUGAAUUUGAUUUAUUCUUUACUGAUAACUUUUGCUUUAAUCAGCUCUUAUGAAGCUGCAUUCAUAUUUUGUUAACUAUUUUUAUGGUUCAUUGCAUAGUUAGCCAGAUGUUCAGACUGGAUUUGGCAUUCCCAUCUACCUAUCAAGUUCUUCCCAAGGAGCUGGGAUAGGCAGAUGUGGAUGUUUGAUGGUCUUAAAGGUAUUGUCACAGGACACAGAACAGUAAGCUGUUCCAAAUAAAGCUGCUUUUUGCAAUUGA